UACGUAGGGUGCAAGCGUUAAUCGGAAUUACUGGGCGUAAAGCGUGCGCAGGCGGUUUUGUAAGACCGAUGUGAAAUCCCCGGGCUUAACCUGGGAAUGGCAUUUGGGACUGCAAGGCUCGAGUGCGGCAGAGGAGACUGGAAUUCCUGGUGUAGCAGUGAAAUGCGUAGAUAUCAGGAGGAACACCGAUGGCGAAGGCAGGUCCCUGGGCUGACACUGACGCUCAUGCACGAAAGCUAGGGGAGCAAACGGG
rnacentral:rRNA from 1 species